rnacentral:rRNA from 1 species
GAUGAACGCUGGCGGCGUGCCUAAUACAUGCAAGUCGAGCGAACAGACGAGGAGCUUGCUCCUCUGACGUUAGCGGCGGACGGGUGAGUAACACGUGGAUACCCUACCUAUAAGACUGGGAUAACUUCGGGAAACCGGAGCUAAUACCGGAUAAUAUCUUGAACCGCAUGGUUCAAUAGUGAAAGACGGUUUUGCUGUCACUUAUAGAUGGAUCCGCGCCCCAUUAGCUAGUUGGUAAGGUAACGGCUUACCAAGCCAACGAUGCGUAGCCGACCUGAGAGGGUGAUCGGCCACCCUGGAACUGAGACACGGUCCAGACUCCUACGGGAGGCAGCAGUAGGGAAUCUUCCGCAAUGGGCCAAAGCUUGACGGAGCAACGCCGCGUGAGUGAUGAAGGUCUUCGGAUCGUAAAACCCUGUUAUUAGGGAAGAACAAAUGUGUAAGUAACUAUGCACGUCUUGACGGUACCUAAUCAGAAAGCCACGGCUAACUACGUG